AUUGAACGCUGGCGGCAGGCCUAACACAUGCAAGUCGAACGAGUGGCGGACGGGUGAGUAAUGUCUGGGAAACUGCCCGAUGGAGGGGUAUAACUACUGGAAACGGUAGCUAAUACCGCAUACCAUCGGAUGUGCCCAGAGGGGAUUAGCUAGUAGGUGGGGUAAAGGCUAACCUAGGCGACGAUCCCUAGCUGGUCUGAGAGGAUGACCAGCCACCAUGGAACGGAGAUACGGUCCAGCGUCCUACGUGAGGAAGCAGUGGGGAAUAUUGCACUAUGGGCGCAAGCUGGAUGGAGUCAUGCCGCGUGUAUGAAGAAGGCCUUCGGGUUGUAAAGUACUUUCAGCGAGGAGGCGUUACUCGCAGAAGAAGCACCGGCUAACUCCGUGCCAGCAGCCGCGGUAAUAC
rnacentral:rRNA from 1 species